rnacentral:piRNA from 1 species
UCAGAUGGAAGUGGUCUACUUGGGA